rnacentral:rRNA from 1 species
UACGUAGGGUGCGAGCGUUGUCCGGAAUUAUUGGGCGUAAAGGGCUCGUAGGCGGUUUGUCGCGUCGGGAGUGAAAACCAGGUGCUUAACACCUGGCUUGCUUUCGAUACGGGCAGACUAGAGGUAUGCAGGGGAGAACGGAAUUCCUGGUGUAGCGGUGAAAUGCGCAGAUAUCAGGAGGAACACCGGUGGCGAAGGCGGCCAACUGGGAUACACCUGACGCUGAGGCACGAAGGCGUGGGGAGCGAACGGG